rnacentral:rRNA from 1 species
CCCUUAGAUGUUCUGGGCCGCACGCGCGCUACAAUGGCAAGCUCAGCGAGUCUCCUUUACCGACAGGUAUAGGAAAUCUUUUCAGUGUUUGCCGUGAUGGGGCUAGACCCUUGUAAUUAUUGGUCUCCAACGAGGAAUUCCUAGUAAACGCAGGUCAUUAACCUGCAUUGAUUACGUCCCUGCCCUUUGUACACACCGCCCGUCGCACCUACCGAUUGAAUGGUCCGGUGAAGUCUCCGGACUGAGUACUUUUAGUACUUGGGAAGUUGACUAAACCUUACUAUUUAGAGGAAGGUGAAGUCGUAACA